UACGAAGGGGGCUAGCGUUGCUCGGAAUUACUGGGCGUAAAGGGCGCGUAGGCGGAUGUUUAAGUCGGGGGUGAAAGCCCGGGGCUCAACCUCGGAAUUGCCUUCGAUACUGGACAUCUUGAGUACGGGAGAGGUGAGUGGAACUGCGAGUGUAGAGGUGAAAUUCGUAGAUAUUCGCAAGAACACCAGUGGCGAAAGGCGGCUCACUGGCCCGGUACUGACGCCUGAGGUGCGAAAGCGUGGGGGAGCAAACAGGG
rnacentral:rRNA from 1 species